AGAGUUUGAUCAUGGCUCAGGACGAACGCUGGCGGCGUGCUUAAAACAUGCAAGUCGAACGGACUUCUCAUGAAGCUUGCGAUUGAGAAGUUAGUGGCGGACGGGUGAGUAACGCGUGGGCAACCUGCCCCUGAGCCCGGGAUAACAGUUCGAAAGGACUGCUAAGACCGGAUAUACUUGCGGUGAAGCAUUUCACUGCAAGGAAAGGGAACGCUCAGGGAUGGGCCCGCGUCCCAUUAGCUAGUUGGUGAGGUAACGGCCCACCAAGGCGACGAUGGGUAGCCGGCCUGAGAGGGUGAACGGCCACGCUGGGACUGAGACACGGCCCAGACUCCUACGGGAGGCAGCAGUUGGGAAUCUUCGGCAAUGGGCGCAAGCCUGACCGAGCAACGCCGCGUGAGUGAUGAAGGUUUUCGGAUUGUAAAGCUCUGUCUUCCGGGACGAUAAUGACGGUACCGGAGGAGGAAGCCACGGCUAACUACGUGCCAGCAGCCGCGGUAAUACGUAGGUGGCGAGCGUUGUCCGGAAUUACUGGGCGUAAAGGGCGCGUAGGCGGCCUGUCAAGUCAGAUGUGAAAUCCCCGGGCUUAACCCGGGAACUGCAUUUGAAACUGGCGGGCUUGAGGGCAGGAGAGGAAAGCGGAACUCCCAGUGUAGCGGUGAAAUGCGUAGAUAUUGGGAGGAACACCAGUGGCGAAGGCGACUGCCUGGACGAUAACUGACGCUGAGGCACGAAAGCUAGGGGAGCAAACAGGAUUAGAUACCCUGGUAGUCCUAGCCGUAAACGAUGGGUACUAGGUGUAGGUGGUUUCGAUACCAUCUGUGCCGUAGUUAACGCAUUAAGUACCCCGCCUGGGGAGUACGUGCGCAAGCAUGAAACUCAAGGAAUUGACGG
rnacentral:rRNA from 1 species